rnacentral:lncRNA from 1 species
UUUCGAUAUUUAUAACUCUGUAUUGCUACUUUCACUUUUCAUUGAUUCUCUCACCAUGACAAUGUCAAAUUCAAUGUACCACUUUGAGUAAUUCAGUAAUUAAUUUCUGUAUGAAAAUUGUCCUGAUCAGAUGAAGCCUGAUUGCAUGCCAAACAUGUAGGCCAUAGCAAAUGUUGUUGUCCAUUUUGAGUAUCAUUUUAUAUAUAUAUAUAUGUAGUAAUAAAUUUAUUGUAAUCUCAAUAACAACAUAUAAAUUCUUUUUAUAAAGUAAAUAAUUAAAAACAUAUUAUGCUAAAACAAGGAGUAAGACAUCAUUGGCUAAAAGAAAAUAUCAAAAUAUAACAUGAGUGUGUACAUAACAAAAUGGUUGACAUAUCCCCCAAUCAAUUCUGACUGAUUAGUCACAGCUUUAAAAGUCUUAAAUAUAUCUUUGGGUGCAAACAAAGCAAGCAAUGGUUGUAUAUGGAAACACAAUUAAAAAAAUAUAUAAGUAAGUUUGAUUUACUACAAAUCACAAGGAAGAAUAAGAAAAAAAAGCCCAUAUGUAGGAAAAAAUUACUUUAGCAAAUAUUUAGGAGGUAUAAAAGUAAUGUAUUUAAAGGUUGGCCUUCAUAAAAUGUAAAUUUUACAGUCGCAAAUUAAGUGUACUGUGGAUUCAUUAUUAUUCGUUGGAUACCAAUUUUCAUGGUUUUCGUGGGUACAGGUGAACCACGAAUUCAAAUGUUCAACGAAUACACUUAUUAAAUAGGUUUUGUAUACAGAGAUUGGCAAAACCACGAAAUUAAAUAUCCACAAAUUUGCAAAAUUUCAGCAAUCCACGAAAAUUGAUACCCACGAAAAUAAAUGAAUCUACAGUACCUAGAAACACAUAGCAGAGCUAUGUAAACAGAUAUUUGUUACAGUAAAAUCAAGUUUUGCCAAGGCCAAGCUUAAAAUACAAGUCCAUUCUAAUGCUACAUAAUAAAUAAUCAUAUGUUUACUCCUGAUGUCAAACAAACACUAGUCAGACAUAUCUAUAUUUUUUGUAUACUUCUCAAUGGUUUUAAUAUUGUCAAAAUGAAGAUUUUGAGGCACAAAAUGUGACCUCUAGUUUAUUUUUUUAGAAACAAAUAUAAAAAAUCAAAAUUCAAAAUGAUUGCUUUCUAAGUUAUGGACUGGUAGAACGUUGAAUCUAACCCUCCAAAAUAUUUGUCCAAUGAAAAUUAUUGUUACAAGCGAAUUGAAUUAGAAUAUCAAAUUUACAACUCUGAUGUCUUUUUAAACUCUAAAUCUAAUGAUAUGAUAUCAACCCUUAUAAAACAAUAAUAUGUGUAACAGUACCACAUUUCCAUGUUCAGUGAACUAUGAUAUAAUAAAUAUGACAUAUACAUUUGUAAUUUAAACAGCUAACAUCAUAAUGAACAUGUGAACUAAGUUUCCAGUGGAUGUGACCAUUACCUCAUGGGGAACUACCUAAAACUUAAAACUUAAAAUAUCCUGCUUUUACAUGAUCACUAUUUCGUGGUCAAGUUUAUAAGUGCUGACACAAAUUAAGUGUACCUAGCAACAAAAUUUUUUCAAGGUCUUGGUCAUUGCUUGUGAUGUGGAUUCUUGCACAAUUAAUUAUCUUUCAUCUAUCAGAUGACAAAAACACUAAUAUUUAUAGGGUUUGAUGGUUUAAGAUUGAGGGUAUUGUAAUUUAUUUCUUUGGCCAGUAAACAUAUUAUCAACCAUAGAACUAGUACUGUAAAUAUUCAUAUGUAUGGGCAAACAAAAGCUACAGUAUAAAAAUAAAUUGAGAUUCUUUUUACAUAAAUUGUGAUUGAACUUAAAAAUAAUUCAAAUGGUUUUUAUAGUUUUAAAAGUUAGGUUUCAAAUGAGCCACAAAGAAAACAGACAACAGAGUAUGGCAAGACAACAGACAAUAUAUGAGGAGUAUAGUUGACAUGAGACAUUAAGAAUCAGCUAAACCUUAACAAAAAUUCAGGCAGAUAGGAAAUAAGAGUACACACGCUAAAAUGUCUUGUCUUCUUUACUAAUCAUUGAUAUUAUGUUGAUAGUCCUAAAUAUAAAGCUUUAUUACAACUGUCGCAUAAAGUUACAAUAACCAAGAAAACUAAACAUUGACAAUGAACCAAGAAAAUGAGGUCAAGGUCAGAUGAACCAUACCAGGCAGACAUGUACAGCUAACAGUUCUUCAAUACAACAAAUAUAGUUGACCUAGUGCUUAUAGUUUAAGAAAAACAGACAAAACACAAAAACUGAACACUGAGCAAUGAACCCUGAAAAUAAGGUCAAGGUCAAAUAAAACCUGUGCGACUGAAUAAAAGACCAACACUCAAAAAUGUAACUUAUUGACCACUGAACCAUAAAAAUGAGGUCAAGGUCAGAUGACACCUGCCAGCUAGACAUGUUCACCUUACAAUCAUUCCAUACACCAAAAAUACUAGACAUAUUGCUUAUAGUAUCUGAGAUAUGGACUUGACUACCAAAACUUAACCUUGUUCGAUGAUCUAUGAAAUAAGUGAAAACUGUCUGAUGGGCAUGAGGACCUUGUAAGGUAUGCCCAUAUCAAAUAUAGUUAUCCUAUUACUUAUAAUAAGAGGCAGUUUAACAUUACAAAACUUUAUAACUUUUUUUUCAACUAGUCACUGAACCAUGAAAAUGAGGUCAAGGACAUUGGACAUGUGACUGACAGAAACUAUGUAACAUAAGGCGUCUAUUUCUAAGUAUGAAGCAUCCAGGUUUCCAUCUUUUAAAAUAUAAAGCUUUUAAGAAGUAAAUAUCACGCCGACUCCUCCACUGCGGCCAUAACUGCCAGAUCACUAUCCCUAUGUCCAGCUUUCUGAGACAAUAGUCAAAGGCUCGACAAAAAACCCACUUAAAUAGCUACAUAACAACACCAUCAAUGAAUUGUUUUCUUUGAUAUAUAAGUUUUAGCAAGGUGUAAAUAAAUAUGAGAUUUUGAGUCAAAUCAAUGAACAGGAACAUGACAGUAUAAUACCCUUUUAUGAUCUCCAAAG